rnacentral:rRNA from 1 species
CAGUAGCCACGGUAAUACGAAGGGGGCUAGCGUUGUUCGGAAUCACUGGGCGUAAAGCGCACGUAGGCGGACUUUUAAGUCAGGGGUGAAAUCCCAAGGCUCAACCUUGGAACUGCCUUUGAUACUGGAAGUCUUGAGUUCGGGAGAGGUGAGUGGAACUGCGAGUGUAGAGGUGAAAUUCGUAGAUAUUCGCAAGAACACCAGUGGCGAAGGCGGCUCACUGGCCCGAUACUGACGCUGAGGUGCGAAAGCGUGGGGAGCAAACAGGAUUAGAGACCCCAGUAGUCCCUGUCUCUUAUAC